GUCGACGUACUUCAUAGGAUCAUUUCUAUAGGAAUCGUCACUCUUUGACUCUUCAAAAGAGCCACUGAAUCCAACUUGGUUGAUGAGCCGAAGAACCUUUGUACCCAAGAGUGAGAAAUAAGAUGUAUCAUUAGCUUGGUCCACAACCCUUAGCGGUUUGGCCAUCUACUCCAACAUUUCUUUGUUUUGCCUUUUGCAAUGGUUGUACAUGGAUAGGGGUUUAGGGAAUUAGAGGUAGGGUCCUCGGACCUUUGCUUCUUUUACCUUUCUCUCCGUUUUAACUCCUGUAUACCGCUUUAAAUUGGCGCGAUGAUCUUUGCCCAGUUUGUGUACCUCUUCGCGAGGGGACAAACAUUAAUGGGUGGGUACAAAUGGCAGUCUGACAAGU
rnacentral:snoRNA from 2 species